rnacentral:rRNA from 1 species
CCCCUUUUUCGGGGGGGGGGGGCUGGAAGGUUUUCCUUUAAAAAAAAAAUUAAAAUUUGAUUUUUUUUUAAAAAUCUUUUAUUUUCUUUUUUUUUUAGAUCAAAUCUCCCUAUUAUUCUUUUCCUCGUGGGAAAUUUAAUGAGAAAUGUUCUUCUGUUUUUUCCUCAUCGGAGGGAUCAUGACCAUAUUAUUAUUUUUUUUACUCACCGCAGGAAUCGUUCGACCGUAGUAAAGAAAUAAACGUUUCGAGAUUUAUAUAACUCAUAUCAACUUUUAACAAGGUCUCUCUUGGCUCUCGUCCAGGCGUCGUCCCCGGGGCAAUAGUAUGUGAAAAUACCAAUUCAUACCUCGAGAAAUUCUUCGAUCUUUGUACUCAAUCUGGACUCUUAUAUUUCUAAACCCAGACCGCGUCUGCAUGGGCAUCCUUGUCUCUUUUUACGUUGAUGUAUGUUUCGUAUUUCGGGAAGUGAUGGGUAUGACGUUCUCAGCGUUUCUUAAUUACAUAGUUGGCAUCUUUCAAAUCUUGAAAGAAUGAAUUUAAAGUAGUGUAAAGGAAUCCCCCACACAGGGUCUUUCUGACAAUCGUCCUCAAGCCCUUUCACUGUUUGGUCACUGAGAUUUUUUUUUUUCUUUAUUCCUAUACGGUAGGAAAAUCUUUUAGUGUUUUCCUUUUCCUCUUCUGUGAGAGGGAAGAGGGCGGAAAAUAAUGUUCGUUAUUUUAUUUGUAUUGGGAAAAAGGAAACAAUUCUUAGGGACAUUUUUUCUUUUUACUCAUUGCUUUCUUAUCAGAGGGUAUAAAAAACGUAAGACAUUUUUUAUUGCUCUGUUUUUCAGUUUGGAGCGAAAGGAGAAGUUUUAUGCUUUCUAGAAUGAUAAAAAUGGGAUUAUUCUUUGGUACUUUUAAUAUUUCUCCAAUCUUUUAGUUGAACUCACUAAAAGAAAGAGAAAGAAAAAAAUUAGAUAUCUACUCAGCUCUCCAAUCAGACGAGAUGGCCCAGGG